UAAUUAAACAAUCAUAAUUUUUAAAUUAAAAUUGUUAUAUUUUAUAUGUAUAAUACAAUAUUUAUUAUCUCUUUUAAUAAUAAUAUUUUUUUUUAUUAAUCUUUUUUAUUUGUUUUAAUGUAAACAAAAACCUAUCUCUCCCUAAUGUUACAUUUGCUUAGCUGCGCAAGGGGUGAUAUGCCAUUAAUAUACAACAUGACAUAAAAUAAUAUUAAAAAUAAAUUUAUUUGAGUUAAUAAAGUUUACUCAAUUAAGAUUUCAUCAAUUUUUUAAUUAAUGAAAUAGUUGAGAAAAAAUACUAAAAUUGAAAUUGAUUUCAUGACAUUAGAUAUUGAAACAUAUUUAAAUAAAGAUAAUUUUCAAAUUCCUUAUUGUAUUUGUAUUUACAAUGGUAAAAUAUGUAAUUCUUAUUAUUACCAAUAUUUCAAAUCUCCAGAAGAUAUCUUAUUAAAAGCAAUAAAGUCAAUUUGUAUUCCAGAAUAUAAUAAUUAUAAUGUUUAUGCUCACAAUUUUAGUUCUUUUGAUGGUAUAUUCAUUUUAAAAAUAUUAAAUAGAUUAGGUAAUAUUGAGCCAGUCAUUAAAGAUGGUAAAAUAAUUUCAGUAAAAUUGAUUUAUUACAAUAAAGCUCAACGGAAAUAUCAUAGUAUUACUUUCUUAGAUAGUAUUCUAUUACUGAAUGCAAGUUUAAGAAAGUUGGCAAAAUCAUUUAAUACUUCUACCCAAAAAGGUAAUUUAGAUGUAACAAUGAUUAAGGAAAAUAACUACUUACAUCAUAAAGAUGAAGUUAUCAGAUACUGUGCAGAUGAUUGUAUUUCACUAUAUCAAAUUCUAGUUAAAUUCAAUAAUUUAUUUAUGGAAAGAUGAAUAAAACUGUUCCAUUCUUUUAGUUAAUUUAUUAUUUAGUUAAUUUAUUAUUAAAUUAAUUUAAGAGGGGUAAAAUUAAAUUUUUAUUAAAUUAAGCAUCAUCCAUGCUUCGCUUGUACAGGAAGAAGCAGCUUAGCUAUUUUUUAAAUUUAAAAAUGCGGCUAAACAUAAAAGAUUUGUUAAUUUAAUUACUUCAUUAAUACUGUCAUUAAAUAUCAAUGAACUGAAUAAUAUAGAAAGUAAGAAUAAAAAUGCUAUACUUAUAUAAAGAGCAUAUGUUGUAAUAACACCGGAAUCUAAUUUAGCUAUAUUUUUAGCUAUAUUUAAAAUAGAAUUACUUAAUCCAAAAGGUCCUACAAGUUCAAUUACACCUCUAUCUAUUUGUUUAGAAACAGCAUAUCCUAAUUUAAAUCCAUUAUUAAUUAUAAAGUGAUUAUAAAUUAUAUCAAAGUAAUAUUUAUUAUUAAAUAUAUUAUAUAAUUUUCUUCCUAUUAAUGUUUUAGUUAUAUUAUUUAUUAGCUCAGGUUUUUUAAGAUAUAAUAUUAAAGCAGAAACUACUCCUAUUAAACUUAAUAAAGAUGGUAAUAAUUUAGUAAAUAUACUUAGAGAAAAUUCAGCUUCAACUAAAGUAAUAUUAUUAGGAUGAAUAAAUAAAGAGUUACCGAAGAAAUCAGAACCAAUACCUACAAACAUAUCAGAGAAUAAAUAUCCAAAAAAUAUACUAAACAAUGAUAAAAAUACUAAUGGAACAAUAACAGCUAAUCCUGAUUCAUGUGCACCUAGGUAAGAUUGUUUAUUACCGUUAGGUGAAGUUAGGAAAACUAAACUAAUUAAUCUAAAACUAUAAAAAGCUGUUAUUCCUGCUGUAAUAGAACCUAAAAUGAAUGCAUACAUUUGAGUAAAAUUAUAAUUACCGUAAGCUAAUUCUAUAAUUAAAUCUUUACUAUAAAAUCCAGAUAAAAAUGGAGUAGCUAAUAAUGAUAAUGUACCAACUAACAUAACUGAAUAAGUAAAUGGUAAAAAUUUAAUUAAACCACCCAUUUUUCUAACAUCUUGUUGAUCAGAAAAUGAAUGAAUUACAGCACCUGCUGCUAAGAAUAAUAAGGCUUUAAAGAAAGCAUGAUUUACAGUAUGGAAUAAAGCCACAUUAUAUUGACUAAGUCCUAUAGCCAUCACCAUAUAACCUAAUUGACUGAUUGUUGAAAAAGCAAUAAUUCUUUUUAAAUCAUUUUGAACCAAUCCUGAUGUAGCUGCAAAAAAGGCUGUUGAAGCUCCAACUAUAGUAAUUACCAUAAGUGCUGUUGGACUAUAUUCUAAUAUAGGACUACAUCUUAAUAGUAAAUAGAUUCCAGCAGUAACUAGAGUAGCAGCAUGCAAUAAAGCAGAAACUGGAGUAGGGGCCUCCAUUGAACCAGGCAACCAACUAUGUAAUGGAAUUUGAGCUGAUUUAGCACAAGCUCCUCCAAACAAUAGUAAAGCUAUAAUAGUUAUUGCUGUUUCAUUCAUAUAAGGUGUUAAUGAAAAUACAGAAGAAUAAUUUAAAGUUCCAAAUAAAGCAAAAAUAGCGAAGAAACCUAUACUCAUUAACAUAUCACCUUGUCUAUUCAUUGUAAAUGCUAAAAUUGCAGCUUUGUUAGCUUGAAUUCUUGUAAAGUAAAAAUUAAUUAGAAGAUAUGAUACUACUCCUAUAGCUUCCCAACCUACAAACAUUACUAAAAAAUUACCACCAGUAAUUAAUACUAACAUUCCAAAGGUAAAGGCUGAAAGAUAAGAAAAGAAUCUUUGAAUGUGAGGAUCUUCUGCUAAAUAAUAAAUACUAUAAAUGUGAAUUGCAGUUGAACAAUAUAAAACAGCCAUACCUAACAUAACUGUUAAUUGAUCAAAAUAAAAUACUCAAGAAAUACUCAUAAAUUCAGAAUCUAUUCAACUUCCUAAAUUAAUUUCAACGGGUGAACCGCAUAAACAUACUUGAUAAAAAGCAAUAGUCAUUAAUAUAGAAGAUAAACCUAAACAUAAACAUGAGAUAAAUUGUGAACCAGUUACACCUAGUUUUCUACCUAGAAAACCUGAUCCAAUUGAACCUAAUAAAGGUAAUAAUAAAAUUGAUAAAUACAUUAUUUUUUAGUUUCUUAUUGAGAUUGUACCUCUUAAUCGAUAAUAUGCAACAAGAAUACUUAAACCAAUUACAGAUUCAGCACCUGCAAUAGAAAUAAUAUAUAAACUAAAGGUCUGUCCAGCAUUAUCAUCAAAUCCGAAUGAACUAAUUAAUACUAAUAAAGUAACAGCCAAAAGCAUUAUUUCGAUAGCAAUUAUCAUAAGUAUAAUAUUUUUUCUAUUUAAUAUAAAUCCUAAAAUACCUAUUAAAAAUAAUAAUAUUGAUAAAUUCAUUAGUUUAAAUAUUUUUGUUUAAAAACUUUUUAGUUAUUUGAAAAAUGAAUUUUUUUGUUUUAUUUAAAAAAAAACAAAUAAACUAUAAAAAAAAAAAGUAACAAUGCUAUACUUCUGCAGGUCCGGCGCUAGCGCUACGCAGAGCAGGAGAUAUAUCACUGCUGAGCAGAGCAAUUUUUAUUGCUUGCCGCUGUGCUUGUGCUAUGCAGCGAGGGGGGGUAUAAAUGGUUCCAAUUCAAAUAAAACCAAAGCAAAGAAUUGGAUAUAUAGAAUGAGUUAAGAUAUAUAAUAACAAGAGAUAUAUAAUUUCUUAAGUUAUUAAUUAUUUCUUGAAUUAAUACUAAUGUAUAAAUAUCAAAUUUAUUUAUUUUUUUUCUAAUUUUUAUAAAACAUAAAAUUAAAUACUGUAAUAAUUAUAAAUAAUAUACAAAUUUAACUGUAUCCUUUAAUUAUGAUAUAAUUUUUUUAAUAUUUACGUUUUUAAAUUACUAGUUAAUCAUACAAUAAACUUAUAUUUAAAUUAGUUACUUCCUCAGAAAUAUACAGCAAUGAAUAAAAAUAAUCAUACUACGUCAACAAAAUGCCAGUAAAGAAUUCCAGUUUCAAAUCCUACGUGACCUUGUUUAUUAACAUUGUAGUUGAUAAUUCUAAUAAAUCCAAUAACUAUAAAGAUUGUUCCAACAAUAACAUGGAAUCCGUGUAGACCUGUUGAAGCAUAGAAUGUAGUUCCAAAUACACUAUCGGCUAUUGUAAAUUGUGAAUCUGAAUAUUCAAUAUAUUGGAAUAUUGUGAAUACAACAGCUAAUACAAUAGUCAUAAAUAAACUAUUUAUUGUGUGUUUUCUUUUUCCAGCUAUAAAAGCAUGGUGAGCAUAAGUAAUAAAUGCUCCACUAGAUAAUAAUAAGAAAGUAUUAAGUAAAGGUAUAGCGAAAGGAUCUAAAGGUGUGAUACCUAAUGGAGGUCAUACUCCACCUAUUUCCACGUUAGGUACUAUACUAGCAUGAAAGUAAGCUCAAAAUACUGAAAUAAAAGCAAAUACUUCACUAACAAUAAAAAGUAUGAAUCCUAUCAUUAGUCCAUUUUUAACUUCUUUUGUAUGAUGACCUAAGAAACUUCCUUCAGUAUUAACAUCACCUAAUCAAAAAUACAUUAUAGAUAAUGUUAAUAUAAAUCCUAAGUUUAAUAAUAAUACUCCAUUAUUAAAACCGUGUAUUGAUAACACAGCACCAAUAGCCAUAAAAAAUAAUGAUCAACUUAUUAAGAAAGGCCAAGGAGAUUGAUCAACUAAAUGAUAUGAAUGAGAUUGAAAUUUAUUUUUAUUGUUUAUUAUUUGUAAAUUUGUUGUCAUUAAAUAAAUUUUACCUUUACGUAAGAAUUUAAAUAUUAAUUUCUAAUUUAAUUAAAUUAAGUUACUAUUAUCUAGUGACUUUUUAUUUAGCUAUUUAUUAACUUAGCCAUUAUUAAGAUUGUUUAAUAAAAGAAAAAUUAAUAAAAAAUUUAAUUAAACCUUAGUACAUAAAUAUGUACUGAUUAACUGCUUAAAAAGAUUUCUAUUUUUAAUGAAUUAUGUUAAAAUAAAAAUAGGAAUUGUAUGAUUGAUCAGAUUCAAACUGAUAAUACUGCCUUGGUAAGAAUGCUUCCUCUACUUAUUACUUAUUAUUAGUUUUAGUAGAAGAAAGUAAAGCAACUGUUAUUCAUAUUUAACUACAACCAUUGUUUUAUUCUUCUUUUAAAUUUUUAUAAUAUCUAUAAAAAAUAAAUCCAAAUUUAGAUUAAAUAAAGCAAUUACUCCUUCCUGCGGAGGAAGUAGGCCUUAAAAAGACUAGUGAAUCUAUUAAAAUUUUUUUAAAUUAUUAAUUAAAAAAAAGCUAAAUUAAAAAAAGCAAAAAUUAAAUCUUAUUAUUUUUAAAGUAGAAAUAAACUUUAGUAAUAAAUCAAGAGUUAUAAUUUUAAUAAUAACAAAUUAUGAGGGUUAAAUUAAUCUUCGUUACCUUUAUUUUGCCCGGAGAAUAGCUUUUAAUAAUUGUGUACAAAUUUAAUUUGUACAAGUAAAUCCUUAUAAUCAUUCUCAAUAAUAAGUACGGAGCUGCAAUAACUAAGCAUUAUCCACUUUCUCUUAGAAUUAGAUUAAGACUAAGAAUAAGAAAAAUGAUUAUAAUUUCCUUCUGCUUCCUAAGGAUGCUAGCAAGGCAAGUAAGAGCUACACUACAUAAAUGCAUUAUAUUCGAUUUCGUUUACUGCAUAGUACAUACUUAUUUAAUUAUCUGGCUUUUUUUUUUGGUCUCCGGCUGCUGAGCCGAAAUGGCUUUCCAAUUCUACUUAAAAAAGUGCUACGCUGCUACGCUGCUACGCUUUGGUAGAAAGUAGGGUCUGCCAAUAAAUAAAUUUUUUUUUUAUUUUCUUAAUUUAUAAAAUUAAGAUUGCACAGGAAGUGAAUUAAAUGCAUGUAAAGGUACAGGAGUAGAAAGAGUUCAUUCAAUACUAUUAGCUGAAGGGAUAUCAAUAUUAUUAAUUUCAUUAUCAGCUCCUACUCUUACUCCAAAGAAAUAUGAUGCUAUUGCUCAAGGAUUUUUAGGACUAAAGUUUUUAUUUACAAACAUAUUAUAAAUUAUAUAGAUAAAUAAUACAGUAGCAACUACUGAUAUUAAUGAUCCGAAACUUGAAACAGCAUUCCAUCCGUUAUAAGCAUCAGGAUAAUCAGGUAUUCUUCUAGGCAUACCAGCCAUUCCUAAAAAGUGUUGAGGGAAGAAAGUUAAAUUAACUCCCACGAACAAUGUUCAGAAGUGUACUUUACCUAAGAAUUCAUUAUAUAAUUUUCCUAUAAUUUUUGGAGUCCAGAAAUAAAAUCCGGCAAAUAAACCAAAUACUGCUCCCAUUGAUAAUACAUAGUGGAAGUGAGCAACCACGUAAUAUGUAUCGUGGAAUGCUACAUCUAAUGAAGCAUUAGAUAAUACAACUCCUGUAAUACCACCCAUAGUAAAUAGAGCUAAGAAUCCUAACACGAAUACUAAUGGUGUAUUAAAUUUAAGACUACCACCAUAUAAAGUAGCUAAUCAAGAGAAGAUUUUAAUUCCAGUAGGAACAGCAAUAACCAUUGUAGCGGCUGUGAAGUAAGCUCUUGUAUCCACGUCCAUACCUACUGUAAACAUGUGGUGUGAUCAAACUAAGAAUCCUAAGAUUCCAAUUGAGAACAUAGCAUAAACCAUACCAAUGUAACCAAAUAUUGAUUUACCACUGAAAGUAGAUACAAUAUGACUAACAAUUCCAAAUGCAGGAAUUAUUAAAAUAUAACAAUUAUUUUGAUUAAUUUAAUAGUCUAAAUUUGAUCUAUUAAUAUUAAUACUCAAAAACUUUCGUUUUUGUUAGGACUCUAUCUUAUACUGAAUUUCUAUUCUCCCGGCGGGCUUGAAUUUUUCAAUUUAAAAAUUUGAUCUAUUCCUUUUUCCGUUAAAUGAUCUUUUGCUUGUAUAAUUAUAUAUGCUUUUCUUCAUUUAAGAUAAUUAUUGUGUUUACUAGAUUGUAAAUGAAAAUUAUCAAAAUAUUUUAUUACUUUUUUAGCUGAACCAAAACUAGUUGAUCCAUAAUAAUAAGUAUUUUGAGUUGAUCUAUAACCUAUAUUACCACCAAAUAUUUCUUUGAUUAAUAAUAAAACAUUAUUAUCUUUUUGAUCAAUUUGAAAAUUUAAUCUAAUUUCAGGUCUAGGUCUAUUAUCCCUAUUAACAAUUUUAAUUUGAAAACUAGCAUCUGCAUCAGAAAAUCCUGCAAUUCAGUGAUUAUUAAAAUCAUUAGAAUUAUUAAUUUUAAACUCUUCCGUAAGAAGGUUUUUUUCCUGAUAUUUAGGAUGAGCUAAUAUGUUAUUAAUAACUUGAUUAAAUUUGUUAAAAGUUCUUAAUUUACCAUUAAUUAAAUUUAUUGUUCUAAUUAUACCUUCUUUAUUCGAUAUAAUAUAUAAAUAAGCAUUUUUAUCUUUAACUUUUUUUACAUGACCAAAACCUAUUAUUUUUUUAAUAUAAUAAGCUAAUUGGACAUCAGGAGAACUAAAUACAAUAAUUAAUUGUUGUAUACAACUAAAAUGUCCGUCUCCAUCAAUUAAACCGGCUAAAUAAUGUCCAAAUUGUUCAUCAUUUAAUGGUUUUAAGUGUGUAGGGAUAUGAAUAGAUAUCUUUUUAAUAUUUUCAGUAUUGUCGCGUAUAGUCUCUGAGGUUCCACUUCUAAAAAAUAAAGUGUUACCUGCUGAUUGGCUUCAUUGUUUUAACUUUUUUACUAUUUCAAUUAAGAGGGAGUAUUUAAAACUAGAUAUCGAAGCUUUUCCAGCAUAUAGCAACAUUACGAGGCUUAUAAAUUUUACCUCAGGAUGACCAAAGAAUCAGAAUAAGUGCUGAUAUAAAAUUGGAUCACCACCACCUGCUGGGUCGUAGAAACUUGUAUUGAAGUUUCUAUCUGUUAAAAGCAUUGUAAUCGCACCAGCUAAUACUGGUAAUGUUAAUAAUAACAAUAUAGCUGUGAUAAAAAUAGCUCAAACAAAUAAUGGUAAUUUAUGUAAUGACAUACCGUUAGUUCUCAUAUUUAAUGCUGUACUAAUGAAAUUUAUAGCACCUAAUAAUGAAGAAACCCCAGCUAAGUGUAAACUAAAGAUUGCUAAAUCAACAGAACCACCUGAGUGUGAUUGAAUUCCAGCUAAAGGAGGAUAUACAGUUCACCCAGUACCAGCUCCGUUUUCAACUAAAGCACUCAUAAGUAAUAAUAAUAAUGAUGGUGGUAAUAACCAGAAUGAAACAUUGUUUAGUCUUGGGAAUGCCAUAUCAGGAGCACCACAGUGUACUGGUAAGAAGUAAUUACCAAAUCCACCCACUAAACCUGGCAUAACCAUAAAGAAUAUCAUUAUGAAAGCAUGAGCAGAUAUUAUAACAUUAAAUAAUUGAUGAUCUCCAGCUAAAAAUUGAACACCUGGAGCUGACAAUUCUAAUCUUAUUAAUAUAGAAAAAGCAGUACCUAUCAUACCUGCAAACACAGCAAAUAUUAGAUAAAGAGUACCUAUUUCCUUAGCAUUAGUAGAAUUUAAUCAAUACAUAUUAUUUACUAUAUAAUCCUCCCAUCCUACCCUCUAUUUAUAAUUAAAUUAUUACAAUUUCAUAUUAUAUCUAUACCUAAAAGUUAUAUUUAUUUUUACCCUUUUUUUUCCUUGUGCUAAAACAAAGUCUUUGUAAACUAAGGAGAAGAAAGAUUCAUUCUUUGCUUACGUGAAACAUAGACAGUAUUUCCUGCUUCGGCCGAAGAAGCUAGGGCUUACUUUUGAUUAAAAGAAAAAAUUUUUUUAUUAUUUGUAGGACUAAAUUUUAAACUGUGAAUCAAUAAUAUCCCUGCUUAGCUGAAGAGCAGCGUGUAGAAAAGGCCUUACUAUUUUUUUACAGAGCAUAAUCUUACUUAUGCUAAGCAAGAUAAAAGCAUUCUACUAAAAAGCAUAAUACUUAGCUGAAUGAACGAAUUAGUAAAAUUAACUGCUGCAUAACAAGCUAGCGCUGCUUAGCUAGAGCUUAUUGGCAGAGUAAGCGUAGCCUUUGUAAAAGAAUUAAGCGCUUGGCUAAGUGAAGCAACAAUUCUUUCAUUUUUUUAAUUUUUUUUAAUAUUACUUUCAAAUAUUAUACUUAUUCUAAGUAUAAAAUAUUUUAGUAUAAUUAAAUAUUAAAUAUAACUUAAUCUCAACUUAUUAAUAAAUAUAUAAUUUGAAGCUUAUACAUAGACAGCUGACUAAAAAAGAAUAAUUUUUAAAUUUAAAAAAGUAGUUUUUUUUUUUCCGGAAUGGAGGUGAGUCGAACACCUAAGGGAUAUUUCCCGAACAAUUAGCAAUUGCCUUAACUUACCAAUGAAAACCAUUCCUUUCAUUAUUUUUUUUUUUCAAUUUUUACUAAAAUAAAAAGGCUAUAAAAAUUACUAUUUAUAACUUUUAGGUUGUAUCAAUAAGAGCAGAAGUCCUGAGCUCUACAAUUAACACACUUCUUACAAAGCUGUUCCCGCUACGCUCCGCCGCUGCUGCGCUAGCGCUACGCAGAGCAGUUGCAAAUUAGAUUUUUUUUGGCAUUGCAAUUGAUUAAGCGAUUAUCCUACGUACUGGGAGCUAGAGAAGGUAGUAGAAGCAGCUUAAAAAAAGGAAUUAAUAUAUAAAUAUUGGUAUAAAUAUAUAAUUAUAAUUUUUUAUUUUUGUAAGAUUUUAAGAUCCGAUUCUUACCAGAAUUGAACUGGUGCUAGCUUUUCGAAAGAAAGCUGUACUAACCACUAUACCAAAGAAUCAUUACAUUAUUUUUAUACUGCUUCUCAGCUCCGCAGCAGCAGCUACGCCUGCUACGCCUGCUACGCCUGCUACGCAGCAGAGUAGCGCUAGCGCAGCGGGAACCUUAAAAAAGACUUGCUCAGCAAACGAAGCAGCAGGCUAUACAAUUAUUAAAAAAUAAGGUUUAUAUUUUUUUUUUUCCUUCUAUCGCUAGCGCAGCGGCGGCGGAGCGUUCGCACGCAACAGCCUUUGUAAAACUGUAGGGCGGGGAAUUCAUGUUAUUUAAAAAUUACGAGAUUAGGAUUUGAACCUAAACCAUAAGCUAAUGAGACUUUUAUGCUACCAUUACAAUAUCUCGUAUAUCUAAUUUCUUUUAAUUUUUAAUAAUAUUUUUAUAUUAUAUUACACUUUAUUUUCUUCUGCUGCGGAGCGCUGCGCUAGCCUAGCUGAAGUAGCACGUAAGUGUAGUAAGAAGAGAGUGCUAUGCUUUAUUUGAUUAAGGAAGCUUUUUAUUUCAGUGGCUUCCUAUCUUAUAAACUGCUAUUCAUCUAUUAUGUCGGUGUAGUAAAUAAAAAAGGAGUGAAGUAAUCAGCUAGCAACCUCUUUUUUUUUGGUUAUUCUGGAACUUGUGUAAGAAAAGAAUGAAGAUAAAAACGCUUUUUUUUUUAUACGAACAAAGAGACUUGAACUCUUAAGGAAUCACUUCCACUCCUGCUUAAGAGGAGAUUGUUUACCAAUUUCAACAUGUUCGUUAUUUUAUAAUUUUAUUAACCAUUCUGUUUAUUUUUAAAUUUUUUAAUUCUUUUGCUAACCAUCUAAAAUAAAAGGGAUAAAUUUAAUAUCAUAGAUAAAGAAAGCUUAUUAAAAAAAUUACUUCUUUUAAUUAAUAUUUUUAUAAUUAUUUUUUUAUUAAUUAUUUUAUGUUAAUUAUUUUUAGUUAAUAUAUGAAAGGCCUUAAGAGGACUUGAACCUCUGUAAAAAGUAUUAACAGUACUCCGCUUAAACCACUCAGCCAUAAGACCUUAAAAACUUUAUCAACUACUACUAUUUUUAUAAGCAUGAUUUAAAAAAAAGAAAGCGGCAUUCAAAAGAAAAAUUAAAAAAAAAAUUGAAAACACAUGGACUUGAACCAAGACUUUCCCAUUAAAAGUGGGACACUCAAACCACUCGAGUUCUGUCUUCUUAUUUUUAAAUUGCUUUUACAGAUGAGCUCCGCACGCUGCAUUCAUUCUAAAAAGGAAAUUCUUGCGGCGCAGCUCCGCACGCACCUGCAUUGCCAAAGGUCCUGCUUUGUUAUUAGUAAUUACUAAGAGAGUAUAAAAAUUUUAUAUAAGUUAAAUUUUUAAUUUAUAGUAGACUGAGUUGACCAGAUUUGAACUGAUAUAAUCCAUUACCAAAAAAUGGUGUUUUUCCAAAUUAAACUACAACUCAUAUUCUUAUAUUAUAAAUACAAUUAACCUUUAGUAAAUAUAAGAAUAAAAUUAUAAAUAUAAUUAAUUAAUCAUUAAGCCGAAAAAUGGAAUUGAACCAAUAUUUAAAUCUUACAAGGAAUUCGUUUUACCAUUUAAACUAUUUCGACUUUAUCUUUAUAAAAAAACUAAUAUAUUAUUUAUUGAACUUGACUUCUAUACUUUGUAUUUUAAAAAAAUUUUAACUAUUUUUAUAAUUAUUUAAGAAAAAAAAAAUUAUAGACUAUUAACUAUAUCUUCUAGCAAAGCAUAGUAACAUAGGUUCGCUUAUAAAAAUAAACGCAUAUGAUAAAUAAUACUUGCUAAAAUUAUUAUAUAUUGCCCCGGGAGAGAAUUGAACUCCCAUAUUUAUAGCUUCAGUAUAACGCUUUGACCACUAAGCAACCGAGGCUUAUUAAUAUUAUUUUUUAAUUAAAGUUAAAAUGUAAAGCGUAAAGCUAAAUAAACGUCACAUUAACCUUAAAAUAUUAAUAUUUUAUAUUGGAGAAAGAUAGAUUCGAACUAUCAAUUUUUAUAUUGCAAAUAUAACAGAUUACCAAUUAUCGUAUUUCCCCUAUUUAUAAUAUUAUAAAUUAAACCAAAAUAUUUUUUUAUUCUUAGAUACUUACUUGAACUUAAGAGUAAGAGAUAAAAAAAUUUAAAAUUUUAUCUCAAUAGAAAGCAUUACAACUACUCUUUUAUAUAUUUGGUUUUUUUUUUUAAUUUUAGCAUCAAACGAGAAAUUUUAUUCUUUGCUUUGCUGCUUCCGCAGGAGGCGCUAGCGCUGCGCUAGGGCUGUAGAUAAUACCUAGCACUUCUUUUUGAAAGAAAAUUUCAACAUAAAAUAAAAAUAUAAGCGAAGCCUUUUAAAUUAAAGCAACCUUGAUCAGCAAUUAAACCUUAUAAAAAAAAGCCUAAUAUAACUUAAAAAAAAAUUUUUUAACAUCUUAUAGGACUUGAACCUAUAGUCUUUUGCUUCGAAGGCAACUGCUAUACCAUUUAGCUAAAGAUGUAAUAUUAUCGCUUACAAUUAUUGUAAAACGUUUUGAUUAUAAAAAACUAAAAGAAGGGUAAAAUUCAGCCCCUAGGCGCACCAACGUCUCACUUCUGCCUAGCCUUAUUUAAACCCUCUUUUAAGUGUUUUUCUCUCCUACGGUCUCUGCGUAGCGGCGCUAGGCUAGCACCUGCCGAAGCGUAGCUGGAGCCGGAGCCGGAGCCGAAGAAGAUAGUCUUAACUAAGAAAAAUUCAUAUUAUGUUCCAGUUUACUUCUUAAAAAAUUAUAAUUCAAAUUUUCAUUUCUUUUAUAUAAAAUUUAUAGAUUUUAUCUGCUAUAAAAAUAACUCUUGAAUUCGUAUCAUGAAUUGAUAUUAAGCCAACCAUUACUAUUUUUUUUAGAAAUUGCUUUAUUAUCGACGCUGGAAACGUAAAUCAAUUAGUUGCUAGAAACAAAGCGUAGUAGUAAGCGUUUCAAUAAAGAUAGGGUGUGGUAGCUUACUUCUUAAUUUAGUAAUUAUCUACUUCUUUCUACGCACUUAAUAAUUAUUAUCCAAAAAAAAUUAUUAUUAUCAUCAGAUGAUUUAUUCAUAUUUUAUACAUAUCCUCUGCUGCUGCAGCUCCAGCGCUAGGGCUGGGAGUGAAAGAGAGAAGCUAGGGGUAAAAUUAUGCGUAUAAUAAAGAAGUUACAGACAUAUGUAAUGUUUCUAAAAUAACAUUAGGGAAUAUUCCUAAUAAUAUAGUAGGAAUUAAUAAAGAUAAUAAUAAAAAGAAUUCUCUUCUAUUAAUAUCUUUUAAAAUUUCUAAGUAAGUAGAAUAACUACCAUAAGAUAAUCUAUUAUAUAGGAAUAAUGAAUAACAAGCUGAAGUUACAAUACUUGUUGCUCCUAAUAUAGCAGUAAUAGGAUUUCUUUCAAAUAUACCUAAUAGGGACAUUUGUUCUCCUAAAAAAUUAAGAGUUAAUGGUAUUCCAGUAUUAGCUAAAGUAAAUACAAAGAAUAAUAUUGUGAAUACAGGCAUGUAAGUCACUAAACCUCUCAUAUAGUAAAUUACUCUAGUAUGAGUUCUAUCAUAGAUUAUUCCACCUACACAAAUAAAUAGAGCUGGAGAUACAAACCCAUGUGCUAUUGAUAAUAAAAUAGCUCCUUCUAUUCCUUGGAUAGUAUUUGAAAAUAGUCCUAAAACUACUACUCCCAUAUGUGCUAUACUUGAGUAAGCAAUUAAUCGUUUAGUAUCUUGUUGUACUAUAGUUGAAAACGAAGAAUAAAUAAUACUUAUUAUACAAAUAGUUUGAACUAAAGGUGAAAAGUAAUGAGUAGCAUCAGGUAAAAAGUUUAUUAACACUCUUAGAUAACCAUAAGUGGCUAAUUUUAGUAUAGUAGCAGCUAGUAAUAUAGAUCCUGCCAAUACUGAAUCAGCAUGAGCUUUAGGUAAUCAAAUUAUAAAAGGAUAAAGUGGUGUUUUAACUGCAAAACCUAUAAAAAAUCCUAACCAUAAAAUUUUUUGAAAAUCUGUAUUUAUUUCAUAUAAAGAUAAUAAUUGAAAAUCUGUAGAUCCUAUAUAACUAUAAAUUGUCAAUAUACUAAGCAACAUAGGUAAACUACCAGCUAAAGUAUAUAAAAAAAAUAGUAAAGCAGAUCUAUAUCUAUCUGCUCCAUGACCAAAAAUUACUAUAACAAUAAAUAAUACAGGUAAAACACUUUCAAAAAAUAUAUAAAAAAGUAAUAAAUCUAAAGAAACAAAAGCACAUAUUUGUAAACUUUCUAAAAUUAAAAAUGAUAUUAAAAAAGUUUUUAAAUUUGUAGUUAUAUUUGUAUAAUUAGACAAUAAUGCUACUGGUGUAACAAAGGUUGUCAAUAAAACAAAAUAUAGUGAUAUACUGUCAACACCAAAAUUUAAAUGAUAUAAAUUUAAAUGAGUAAAUUCAGUAACAAAUUGAUAUUGAGUAAUAUUAGAAUCAAAUUGAUAUCACAUAAAUAAAGAAAUAAAUAAAUUAAUUAAAGAAGUUGUUAAUGCUAUUUGUUUCAUUUUUAAUUGAUUAGAACUUUCUUUGAUAGGUAAUAAUAAAAUAGAACCUAUUAUAGGUAUUAGUAAAAGUAAUGAAAUCAUUUUUUAAUUUUUUAUUUUUAAAAAAAUGUAGCUCUUAAAUUAAAAAAGUGAUCCGUACCGUAAUGCGGUUUUUAAUAAAGAACUAUGGUAUUUAUUUUUUAUUCCGCCUCCUGUAUUUAGGCAAGGUUCUCUUUUAACUUAGAGAAAGAAUGCGUUAAUUAUAUUUUGAAUUAACAAUAUAAACCUUUAAUUGAAUUUUUUUAAUGAUUAUGUUAAGUUAUAAAACUAUAACUUGUAUUAUAUAAUUAAAUAAUAACAUAAAAAUUUUUUGAGAUUUCAGUCGAAUCCAGUAGCACCACUGCGGAGCGGAGGUAAUCUCUUGCUUCCGCUGCUGCUGCUGCGCUAGCGCUACGCAGAGCGCGCAGCCCUAAUUAGUUAAAGGAUUAGGCGGACUUAACCUAAUUUAGAAUAUUUAUUAAAUACUCUACUUUAAUUAUUUUAAUUUAUAUAAAAAAAUAACUAGUACUAGAACUUUUAUAUUCUAGUGUAUAAUAAAAUUAUAAUUAAGGGCUUUAAAUUUAAAGUUUGUUUAUAGCUUAUAAUGUAAUAAACUACAACUCUUAGAUUAGAAAAAAUAACUAUAAUUUCUUCUCCCUAAACUUUCAUAAAUUAAAAAAUAAAAAUUUACUUAUUAAGAUAUGGAUCAGUAUUAAAAAAGCUAAUUAAUAAAAAUUAGUAAAAAUAUAAAUACUGGUUACAAUAUAAUUAAUAUAUUAGUUUUUUAUAAAUAUCUUUUUUGAAAGAAGAGUAAGAGUAAUAGUAAUAGUAAGAGUAGGAAAAUAAGUAGUUAGAAUAAGCACACUACAUUAAUUGCCAAAUCUUAGACUUAUUUAUUUAUUCUUAUAGCAGUUAUUUUUAAACCAAUAUUAUGAUUGAGAGUCCAACCAGAUAAGGAAGUCAUUACUUGAUACAGAUUCAACUGCAAUAGGCAUGAAUCCAUGUCAUACUCCACAUAUUUCAGAACAUUGUCCAUAGAAAAUACCAGUUCUUUCUGAUAAGAAAGAAACUUGAUUUAAUCUUCCUGGUACUGCAUCUAUUUUAACUCCUAAUGAAGGCACAGCGAAAGAAUGAAUUACAUCAGCACCAGUUACAAUUAAUCUGAUAUGGCAAUCAACUGGAAUUACUAAUCUAUUAUCAACAUCUAAUAAUCUAAAUUGUCCUAAUUCUAAAUCUGAUUCAGGAACCAUAUAAGAAUCAAAAUCUAUAGAAUCUCCAUUUUCAGUAAUGAAAUCACUAUACUCAUAUGACCAGUACCAUUGGUGACCUACUACUUUAAUAGUUAAUGUUGGUGAUAAUACUUCAUCCAUUAAGUAUAAUAAUUUAAAUGAAGGGAAAGCAAUAGCGAUUAAUACUAAUGCAGGAGUAAUUGUUCAUAUUAAUUCUAUAGUAGAACCAUGUGUUAAGUAUUUAUGUGCUAUUGGAUUUUUUUUAUCACUAUAGUAAUACAUAAUUGAAAAAAGAGCUCAAAAUACUGAGAAACUAAUUAAAACUAAAUAAAAUGCCACAGUAUUAUGUAAUGUAACAAUUCCUGUAAAUCCAGGAGCAGCACUAUCUUGAAAACCUAAUUGCCAUGGUUGAGCAGCGUCGUUAGAGAUAUAAUUAAAAAUUGAAAAUAAUUGUGUCAUUUUUUUGAUUUAAAAAUAAUUGUCAGUCUUAAUUUACUGAUUCAUCCUUUUCUUAAUAAAUUAUAAAAAUAAAACUACAUUUAUUAUACACUCUCUUUAGAUAGAAAGCUAAAAAAAAAGCAGUUACAUUUUUGUUAACUUUUCUUAAAAAAAUUAGAAUUUAAACACCAUUUAUAUUAUUUAUAUAAAGAUUUGUAUUUUUUAAAAAAUUUAUAGUUACUGCUAGCGCAGCAGCGGAGCCUGCAUAAAUUAACUUCAAUAGAUUAAUUAUUGAAAAUAUUUAUUUAAUAAACAUACUAAUUAUCUUAACAAUACUUGUAUAAAUUAAAUAAUUUUUCUUGCUAAUAGCUACUUUGCUGCGGAGCCUCCGUUCCAGUACUUUCUUAUAAAAUUACGCUUAUAAAAGCACUAGCAUUAUAAGUAAGCACUAGCAUUAUAAACUAGUAGUAGAAAGGAAGCACUCCUUUUUAUCUUUAGCUUUAGCUUUAGAAAUAGUAGCUUUUUUCAUUACUUCUUCUUAAGCCGGAUACCUAGCCUAAGCAAGAAGAAGCCGAAGUACUAGUAUACGGUUUUUAAAAAAUGUAUGCACAUACCUCAGCUCCUUCCUCCUUCCUGCGGAGGAAGGAGGAAGGAGGAAGGAGGAAGGAGCUAGGAAGGAAUUAUAACUUACUAUAAAAAUUGGCAUCUUAAGAUUAAUCUUUGUCUUAUAAUUCUUAUACUACUUUAAAAAAAUAAGUAAAUUAUUAUUUAAUAAGCAAUAUAAUCUAAGAAGUAAAGGAUUUGAACCUUUUAUAUUUUUUAUUAAAUAUAUAAAAUAAAUCAUGGUCUAUUUUAUAUUAAUUAUUUAAUAAAAUUUUUAAUUUACUCUGCUAUGCUGCGCUAGCGCAGCGAUGACUUCCUCUACUCUAUGCAGGCUCCGCAAGUAGCUAGAAAAAUAGAUGUAGCAGAGGCUUUUUUUAAAAUUAAAGACAUAGCUAUAGUAAAAUAACUUCUUUAUUUUUUUAUUUAUUAUUAUAAAACUAGUAUUAUUUUUAAGAUUUUACUUAUAUUAUUUAAAUCUAUUAUAAAAAAUUUAAAUUUUUGCUAAUUCCUACGUACAUUAAAAAAUAGGAUUAUAAAAUUAGGGUUAAUUUAAUAUAUUUAAAAAUAAUAGUAUAAAAAUUUUUUAUAAAUUAGAUUUAUUUUUUUUUAAUAUUUUUAAUUAGAUUUUUCUUUUGCAGCUAUAGCUACAUCAAAUACCGUAUUUUCUAAUAUACCGAUACCUGGUACGAUUAUUAAGAACCAAGCGAAAUAGAACGCAGUAGCUAAUUGACCAAUUUCUAAGAACGGUGAAUCUGGGUGUUGAGAACCAAUUCACAUUAAAAUUAUAAAAUCAACUACAAAGAAUCAAAAUGCUAAUUUCAUAGCAGGUCUAAAUUGAUUACUUCUAGUUCUAGAUAAAUCAGUAAAUGGUAAAAUUAAUAAUAUUAAUAAUGAUCCAAACAUAGCUACUACUCCUAACAAUUUGUUUGGGAUACUUCUUAAUAUUGCAUAGAAUGGUAAUAAAUAUCAUUCUGGUACAAUACUUGCAGGUGUAACCAUAGGGUUAGCAGGGAUGUAGUUAUCGCUGUGACCCAAUGCGUUUGGAUAGUAAAAUACAAAAAUAGAUAAUACUAAAAAGAAUGCAAAUAUAGUUACUAAAUCUUUAAAAAUAAAGUAAGGAUGAAAUGCAUAUCUAUCACCAUGUGAUGAUACUCCAUUAGGAUUAUUAGAUCCAUGGAUAUGAAGAGCUAUUAAAUGAGCUAUUACUAAAGCUGCUAAUAAAAAUGGUAAAAUAUAGUGUAAUGAAAAGAAUCUAUUUAAUGUAGCAUUAUUUACUGAGAAACCACCCCAGAUUAAUUCAACAAUAUCUUGUCCAAACACUGGUAUAGCAGAUAGUAAGUUAGUAAUAACAGUAGCACCUCAUAAUGACAUUUGACCAUAAGGUAAUACAUAACCUAAGAAAGCAAUAGCCAUCAUAAGGAUUAAUAUAAUAACUCCUAUAGAUCAUAGUAAUACUCUAGGGUGUUUAUAAGAACUAUAAUAAAGUCCUCUUGCUACAUGUGAAUAAACAAAAAUGAAAAAGAAUGAUGCUACAUUAGCAUGAACAUAUCUUAUGAUUCAUCCAUUGUUUACAUCUCUCAUAAUAUGUUCAACUGAAUUAAAAGCAAAAUCUACAUGUGCUGUAUAGUGCAUUGCUAAAAAACAUCCAGUUAAAAUUUGUAUUAUUAAACAUACUCCUAAUAAUGAACCAAAAUUCCAUAAAUAUGAAAUAUUAGCAGGUUCAGGUGAAUCUACUACAUAAGAAUUAACUAUUCUAAGUAAAACAUUAUUCUUUAAUAGUCUCAUUUAAUUCCAAUUAAUUUGAACCAAGAAAAAAUAUAUAAUUCUUGUUUUUUUUAUUAACUUCUUUUUUCUUUAAUAAUUUUUUUAAUUUUUCUACUAAUUCUUCUUAAAAAUAAUUAGAAGAAGAAAAAGCCUUUACUUUAUAUGAAGCAGCCUUAAAUCCUUUCCUCCGCAGGAAGGAGGCAAGUGAACCUAGCACUAUGUUAAGAAGUGUACCUUCUCCAUCCAUCCUAUCUCCGCUAGCGCUCUUCAGCAGCAGGAGGCUAGAAAUAAAGCAAAUUAUCCAAAAUUAUUUAAUUAAAAAGUUAAAAUGAUAAUAUUAUAAUUAAACUUUUAACUUAACACCUAAACUUAAUUGAUAAAUUACUUUUUAUAAUUUUUUUUUUUAUUAAAAACUAGCUUUCUUUAGGUUUUCCUAGAUCUAGGAAAAAGUACAAUACUAUCAAAAAGUAGUUACAAUUAAUAGUUUAAGUUCAAAAAGCAAUAGUGUGAACAUAACAUUAUAAUAAAAUUCUUGAUAUUAAAUCAAAAAAUUAAUAGUAAAUAGUUUUAAAUAUUUAUAUGAUUAUAUUAAAUUAUUAAUAAUAUAAAUUAAUUAAACUAAUUGAUGUAUACGAUCUUCAUUAUUUAGCAGUCCUCAGAAAGCAAGUUAAUUUAAAUUUUUACAAAGGCUGGCUAUAGCAGUAGUAGUAGCGCUACCACCACCCGUGGACCCUCGCUGCUGCUUCCGCAGGAGGUGCUAGCGCGGAGCAAGCAUAGCUCCUUACUUAUCCUAGCUACGCAGGAAGAAGCAUGGAGCGCGGCUCCGCAAAGAAAGUCUUGUCUUGAGAAAACUGGACACUAGUUCGCAGUUCCUAGUAGGAGAUUUAUGGAUACUCUUUUUUCAUUAGCACUUGCUUCCGCAAAGAAGAAGCGCUUAGCCUUCUACACAUCAAUUCUUUUCGGCUCCACAAAGAAAGAAACGAACGCAAGCCUUCUAAAUUAAAUUUUAUUAAUUUUUAUUAUAUAAAAUGGAUCACUAUAACAUAGAAAUAAUUUAUAUUACAAUCAAAAAUAUUUUUUUACUAUAUAAUUUUAUAUUACGAUUCUUUUAGGGUUAGGUUCAUAAUUAAAAUUAUAUAAUUAUCUUUGUUUUGCUAAAUAAAAUCAGCACUUCACUUCUUAGCUUAGAAGCUCUCUUUCUUAAGCUUAAGCUUAAGCUUAAGAAAGAGAGUUAGCAGCACUUGCUUUUUUAAGAACAAUAGCAAGUUCUAGUACAUAGCUGCAUCCUCCGCCGCAGGUGCUGCAGGUGCUGCUGCGCUAGCCUAGCUGCCGAAGGAUGCUAGAAAAUAAUGCUCAUUACUUAGUAUACGAAGAUUAACUAAUAUAAGCAUGGUGCGGAGCUGAGGGUAAAAUUAAUAUUUUUAAUAAGGUACUAUAUCAAAAGCAACCAAUAUACUAGGAACUAAUAUAAUUAGUGCAACUGCUAUAGGUAAUAGAUUUAAUCAACAUAAAUCUAUUAAUUGAUCAUAUCUUAAUCUAGGAAGAGUAGCUCUUACUAAAACAAAUAAGAAACAAUGAAAACAAGUUUUUAAACCUAAAACAAUUGAUUGUAAAUUAAAUACAGAAUCGUUUACAAAAAUUUCUGGCAUAUUAUAACCACCAAAAAAUAAUACUGAAGUAAUACUACUGAAUAAUACAAUUGAAGAAUAUUCACCUAGGAAAAAAAAUACAAAAGGUACUGAACUAUGUUCUGUCAUAAAUCCUGAAACUAAUUCCGAUUCAGCCUCUUGUAGAUCGAAAGGAGUUCUACUUGUUUCUGCAAGUACAGAAAUAAAAUAAAAAAUAUAAAUAGGAAAUAAUGGAAUUAUAAAUCAAAUAGCUUGUUGAAAUUCAAUUAUAGUUGUGAAAUUAAAUGAACCUGUUAAAAAUAUAAUAAUAAGUAUAGCUGAACUUAAUAUUAAUUCAUAAGAGAUCAUAGCUGCUGUACUUCUUAAAGAUCCUAAAAAUGCAUAUUUUGAAUUGGCACUUCAUCCUGCAAAUAAUAUACCAUAAACUCCUAACGAUGAUAAAGCUAAAGAAUAUAAGAUACCUAAAGGUAAAUCGCUUAUAGCUAAACCUUUUCCGAAAGGUAUUACAGCUCAACCUAAUAAACUAAAUACUAAUGUAGAUAUUGGAGCUAAAAAAAAUAACACUUUAUUAGAAUGAGAAGGAAUAAUAGUUUCCUUAAGAAUUAAUUUCAAAGCAUCAGAAAAUGGUUGUAAUAACCCGUAGUAACCUACAAUAUUAGGACCUACUCGUCUUUGGUGAGCAGCUAAUUGUUUUCUUUCAAUUAUAGUCAUAAAAGCUACUGCUAAUAAUAUAGGUAAAAUAACACAUAAUACAUCAAUUAAAUUGAAAAUUAAAUUAAAUAUUGAAGAUUUAAACAUUGCCUGUGUCCUUCCGAAAGAUAAGGAAAAAAAUAAAUUUUUUAUUUAUAAAAAUAAUUUUUAUAUUUUUAAUAUAAAUAAAAAAAAAUGUAUUUAUAAAUAAUAUGUAAUUAUAUUAUUAAAAAACUAUUUUUAAAUUAGGUAAAUUUUUUUAAAUUAUUAUGAAAAAUUAAAUAUUCAUUUGAUUAUAAAUUUAGAGAACAUAGUACCCUGUGAUUAGCAUAUAAAUUAAGGCUUACUUUUUAUUGUAUUACUGCUGCUGCAGCUGCUAGCCUAGCGCAGCCUAGCGCAGAGUAAGACUCGUAGUAAACCUUCCCCCUGCUGAAGUAGCUAGCAAGCCUACGUUGGAACAACAGCUACUCCUACGGAGUAGCGCGGCCAUAGGAGGAGGAGCAAGCGUAGCUAGCAAAAGAAUACAAGCACUGCAUUAACUACAAACUACACAUUAUUAUACUAUCAAUUAUUAAGGACUAAUUACUUAAAAUUUUAUUAAAUAAAAAAAACACUAUAACAGGAAAAAAAAAACUACUGCUGCAGGUAAGCACUGCCUUCUUCCUUAGGAAGAGCAUUCCGCUUACCGCUGCUCCUUCUUGUGAAAGCUGCUUCCUCCUGCGUAGCUAGGAAGGCUGCAAGCAGAGUGCGUACCUAGAAGUAGCCAGAAGCAAGCGCACAUAGCUAGAAGUUAACGUCCACCGAAGGAAGGAUGGCUAGGCACCUUCUAAGGUAAGAGGUAUAUGGUACUGCAACAUUUUUUUUUAAUUCUAAAAAGCUUAUCUACUUAUAUUAUCUAUAUUUCUUUUAAUAUUUUUAUUGUUUUAUUUAAAACAAAACAUACGUUUCUAUUAAAAAAAUUUUUAGAUAAAUUUAAGAAAUAUAAAUAUAUUUUUAAGUGCGGUGGCUUAUGAAAUAUAUAAUACUUCUUAUUUAAUAUAAGCAUAUGUUUUUAAGCUCUUCUAAACUAAAGCUAAAGAAGAGUGGCUUACUCUUACUUUAAAUUUAAAUCCCAAUUCGGCUAGCAACGCUUCAGCAAGCAAUGAUUUUAUUUAACAAUUUAAUUGCCGGAGGCCCAAAAAUUCCAAAUUAAUAAAUGAGUUAAUUAUUCAUUUAAUAUUUCAAAUAAUAGUAACUUGACUUUUCAAAAAGUAGUAUUAAGUCUCAAUUAAUUAGUAAUAAUUUGAGAAUAAUCAAUAAUUAAAAGCAAGUAACAAGUCUUUGCAUAGUACGCUUAUAAGCGUAUCCAAUACUUUUUUUAAAGCAUUGUACAAUACAUCCUGCAGAAGCUAGCGCAGCAGCCGGAGCGGAGCUGAGAAGCCUUACCUAGAUAGGAAUUAGGCCUAGCAAUUAAGCACUAUUAUCUAGGUACUAGUGUUUUAAAGGGUAAAUUGUAGGGUAAAUUGUAAUGUUAAUUCUUAUACAUAUCCUUUACUUUUGUUGGCUUUCGCUAGCGCAGCGCACAUUAAAAAGACCAAGAAAAGCAGUAUAAGAAUUUAAUUUAAAAGAAAUUUUGUCCAGAUUUAAUAGAGAUAGUAAAUGCUCCUCUUCUAUUUUUAUUAGUAUAUUUAGCAAAAUUAUUAUAAUUAAUUUUUCCUAUAGAAGAAGAUCCUCUUCUAACAAUUCUUACUGUUUUACGAGGUAUUACUUUAUAUUUCAUUAAUCUUCCAGCAACUUUAAUUGUUAAACCAGUUAAAAAUGCAGGUAUUAUGUUUGUCUUAUCUUUAAUUUUAUAAUUAUUUUUAAUACUUUUAAUAACAGCAUUUUUAAAUAAUUUUCUAGUAAUUCUUCUAAUUUUUAUUUUAUUAAUCAUAAAAGCUAAUAGUCUUACUAAUAUAUUACUAUCUUUAUAAGGAUAAUGCAAUCUAAUUAAAUCAAAUUCUACUGGUUUUUUAAAGAAAUUAUUUAAAAUUUCACAUAAUUUUUUAAAUUUUAAAGGAUAUAAAUUAAUUAAAUUAAUUCUAUCUAAUUUAACUAAUUGUUGUUUUUUUAAAAUAUUUUUCUUUUUAAUAAAUUUUUUUAAUAAUUUUUGAUGGAAUUUAAUUUUAAAAUUAAAAUUAGUAUUAAAUAUUCUUCCUUUUGCUUGGUUUUUUUGAAGCAUUCUGCUAUUAGAUAAUUUAUUAUCUUUAUUAUAGAAUACAUAUCGUUUUCCUUUUUUAACCACACUAUAUUUUUUUUUUUUUUUAUAUUUAAAAAUUCUAGGAACUAAUAAAAAAUAAAACAAUUGUAUAAUAAUUUUAUUUGAUUUAAUAAUGAAUACAGGUUUACUAAUCAAACAAUACAUAGAUCUAAAUGAAGAGUAUAAUAAUUUAUAAAUAUUUUGUGUUUCUGCGGCAUAGCUUCAGAAUGGUCUUAAAUUUUUAUUAUAAAAAUUAUAUCCAAUAAUAUUAGAAAAAUACAUAAUAGUUCCAUUACUUGUCAUAUUAUAUAUACUCAUUGAUUUUAAAUAUUGAUUAAUAAUUGGUUUAUUCUUAUUAUUAUUAAAAUAUAAGACAUUAACUGGAUUAGAAUUUACAGAAAUAGUAUCAGUUUUUCAAUUAAAUUUUUUAGUAAUAAUACCUUUAUCUUGAAGAGGCUGCGCUUGCGCAGAAGUUCCUACUUCUUUAAAAACGCUAGGUAAUGUCGAUGCAAAGUAAUUAUUUUCAUUAUUAGUAAUUGUUUUAAUAGUUUUUUCUAUUUUUAUUAUAUUUUCUCUGCAAGGAUUACUUAAAGUAUUAUUAAGUAAAUCAUCUUCAGAUUUCACUCAAUUACUUAUUUGAGAAUAUAAAUCUGUUUUAUUAUUAUUAGGAACUAAAGAUAAUAAGUCUUUUUCUUUUCUAUAAAUUGUUGUAUUUUGCAGAUUACUAUUAUUUAUUUCAUUAUUAAUAGAAUUUAUAGUAUUUGCUCGUCCACUAUUAAUUUUUUCUAUUUUUUUUAAAAAAGUUUCGUUUAUAUUAAUUAUAUUAAUAAUAUAUUCUAUUUUUUUUAUUAAAUUAUUUAACUUAAAUAAUAAGUAUUUUAUUUCACUUUCUUUGUUUGCUUGCAUUGAGGCUCCUUCUGAAUUUAUAUUGAUUCUGCUUAGCAUCAUACCACUUAUAAAUAAGUGAUUUAUAUCUUUAGUAGCAACUCCCGAUUUAUCAUUUCUUGAUAAAGAACUAGAAAUUAAACUAUUAUUUUUCAUUAUUUUAGAAUAAUUAUUUAAUAUUGUUACUAUAUUAUCUAAAAAUGUUUUGUUUAAUAAAUUUUUUCUUAAGGUUCUGCUUUUUCUUGUCGGAGCCGGAGCUGAUGAAGCUUGAGUAAGUGAGUGUGAAGGACUUACAGCCAUGCUUAUUCCUUUAUUCUUCUUAUUUUUAUUAAUAUUAGAAGAAACUGUUACAGCUUUCUUAUUAUUCUUUGUAGAAGAUUUCUUAGUCUUAGAAUUAGAAGUCUUAUCAGAAGAAGCUAUUAAUUUAUCUAGCAUUUCUAAAGGUGAAAGUUUAAUACUAUUAUUACUAUUACUAUUACUACUAUUACUAUUAAUAAUAGAAUUGUAUGUUGCUUUAAUUAAAUCAAUUUUAUAAAAAAUAUUAGAAAAUCGAAUUUUUAAAUUAAAAUAUAAAUUAUUUCUUAAAAAUAAUAUAAAAUCUAAUUUGCUUCCUUUAAAUGAAUUUAAAUUUAAAUUAUAUUUAUUAAUUGAUUUAACCAAUUUUUCUAAUCUUUUAUUUAGUCUAAUAAUUUUAUAUAUUAAUUUUUUUUGAGGAUUUAAUAAAUUAAAAUUUUUAUAUUUUUUUUUAUCACUUAUUUUUUUUAAAAUAACAGGAACACUAAAAAAAGGUAAAAUUCUUUUUUCUGCAAAGCUUUGUCCAUCAUCACCUUUAACUGCAGGUCUUAUUGACAUACUUAUUACUUUAUCUUGUAAUAUUUUUUCUUGUUCUUCUUUAAGUUUUAGCAAUCUAUUUUUUUUAUUAACUUUUUCUUUAUUUGUAUUUAAAAAAAGUCGAAGAUUUUGAUUAUGUUCUAAGUUUUUAUAAUAAAAUUCUUGAUGAACAUGAGCAUCCAUAGACUGAGAUUGUAGUAAUGGUGUUUUUAAUUUCAUUAUUAUUUUAUGUUUAUAUAAAUUAAAUAUUUGCUGCGACUGAGUUUAUAAUUGGAUUAUUGUAUAAUUAAAUAAUAUAUCAUUAUUAUAUUAUAAGAUUAUAAGAUAAUCAUAAUUAAAUAGAGCGCUUUAUUCACACUCUAUCGGGCGGAGCAAAUUAAUGUUUUUUUUAUUAUUAUAGUAUAAAUAAAAAGCACUUAUAUAAUAAAUAAAAUUUAAAAUAUUGCUUUUUCACUUUAUAUUAAAUUCUUUUUCCUACUGCAGGUCCGGCGCUAGCGCUACGCAGAGCGUUGCCUAAGCCGAAGUAGCUAGCAAGCCUAAUCCGAACUGAUUCGCUGCAGCACUCCUAGCUACGCUGCUGCGUAGCUGCCGAAGCAGCAAGAAAACCUAAGCUUCCUUUAGAUUUGCAAAAUGCAUAACAGUACAAGCCUAAGCAAGAACUGCUAUCUAAGUAAUAGAAGCGAAGCAAUACUUCUUAAAAAUAAGAAACGCUUACUUAGAAAAAGCAAAGUAAAUUAAUAUAAAGUGGUGUUAACCUUCAAAUAAUUUAAAUUUGAAGUAGCUUAAAUUUAUAUAUUAAAAAGGAUAAUAAACUAUAUAAAUAAUAUAUAUUUAGAUCUUUUUUAAUAAAAUUAAAUUUAAAAAAAAAAAUUUUUAUGUUUAAAUAUAAUAUUAAACAUUAAAGUUUUUAAUUAAGCCUAAAAAGAUUUGAACUUUUACAGAUUCCUCAUCAAGAAAUUAUUCUACCAUUAAAUUAUAGGCUUUGAUAUAAAUACGAAAUACGAACAGGAUCCUUCCUUAUCCUUCUAGAAGCAUGGACAAGAAUUAUUUGUAAUAAAAUUUAAUUCGAGCCCUUCCAGAUUCGAACUGGGAUAAUCCUAAUUGACAAUUAGAUGCUUUACCUAUUAAGCUAAGGGCCCUUUGAUUUAUUAUUUAUUAUUUAUUAUUUAUUAUUGCUAAUAACUUAAUAAAUUAUUUGUUUUAUACUACGCAUAUCUACUUCCUUCCUGCGCUAGGCUAGCAGCUGCAGCAGCAGCGUGCUGCGGAGCCAGUACAUAGGAAAUACUCUUUGCUGCUUGCGAAAGCAGAAAUUGAUAAAUAAGGUAAUAAUUUUUAAGUUACAAGAAUGAGGCGACUCGAACACCUACGAUUGAUUUUGGAGAUCAACAUACUAGCCAAUUAUAUUACACUCUUAAAAAUAAAUAAAAUAAUGGAUUUAUUAAGAAUAGUAACUUUAAGAUAAUAAAGUGUUAUUUAAAAAUAACAAAUAGCUUAUUUUAUAAUAAUUUUUUGUUAAAAAUAUUACGAGUAAUCAGAUUCGAACUGAUGAUAUCUACUUGGAAGGUAGAGGUUAUAGCCACUUAACUAUACUCGUUUAAUUACUCUUUAAAUAUAAAUGAAUUAUAAUUUUUAUGUUUCUUACUAUUAGCAAAUGUUGAUUUAAAAUUAAUUGAGAAACAGCAAAUCUUUUUUUGCUUGCUUUUAAAAUUAUAAGUGCUUAAUACUUAUAUAUUAGCACUAAUUUUUUAUGUUUUUGUUUUUAUAAAGAAUAUACUCUUUUAAUAAAAAUUACAAAAAUUAUUUUAUUAUUAAAAACAACUUAUACUUAACUAUGUUAAUAUAUUAUUUAUUAACUACAUAAGUAAUGAGUAAUUUUAAAGGAUCAACCAUUCUUAGUUAUGUGGGAGGAUAAAGGGGGGGUUAACAUUAUAAAUCAAUUAUAAUAUACAUUUUGUCUUACCUCUUUAUUCUGCCGGAGGCCCAAGUAAUUAUUAAAAAUAAUAAUUUUUAAUUGCUGCGGAGCUGAGCGCCGGUGCUAGCACAAGAAGCACAGUUUCUCGUCUUAGUAAAGGGAUAUAAAUACUUAUUAAUCUUUAUUUUCUUUUGGAUUCGAACCAAAAUUAGCACUUUAGAAGAAUGCAGUUCUAACCUAUUAAACUAAGAAAAUUUAAUUAAUCAAAAUUUCUAUUUCUGCCGGUGCUUGCGCAGCAGCAGGCGCAAAUAUUUAUUUUUUAAGCUAUUUUUUUAAUUUUUGCUAGUGUAGUUAUAAUAUUUAUUGCUAUUCUCUUUUAGCUAUUAACAACUUUACUAUCAAUACAUAGAUAAUCUAGUUUAUCUUUUAGAAAUAGCACAUUAAUUAGCAUAUUACUUAAAAAAAUUAUAGAAUUAAGAAGGAAUUGAACCCUAAAAGCUAGACUUUGCAGGUCUACUACAGAAACCAUCUGUACUUAACUCUAAGAAAGAUAAGUAUUUUAUUAUUUCUUCUUUUAUAUUAAAAAAUAAAGUUUUAUCAACAGCUUCUUUUAACGAAGGCGGAGCGCAGCGCUCCUUUGUAAAGCUAGGCAAAGCAAUUAGCAGCAAUUUUUAAUGAUUGCUACUCUAGUUCAGUUUGCUUAUGUUUAAGAAUAAAUUUAAAAGUCAGGAAGCUUUGAUUACUAAUUACUUUUUUUUUACUAAAGUCUACUAUCUUAUGUAGAAGUGCUUCGAUUCACAGAGCUAAACUGAAUAAUUUCCUUCUGCGUAAAUAAAACCAUUAAGAUCUACUUUUUUAAGCUCUAGUACUCAACCGUGCUCUUCCUUCUUGUGCUAGCUACGCAGGAAACGAAAACUCUACUAAGCUAAGAAGAGUUAGCACUACUUACUUUCUAGUAUAUAUUUUUUUAGUUAAGAAUUUAAUUUAGAAAGAAUUUAAAAAUAUUCUUUUAGGUAUUAUUAUUUUUAAAUUCAUUUUUUUAAAAGAAUAAGAUUUAAUUCUUAUACAUUAUAAGUCUAUUUACUAAUACUUUUUAAAAAUAAAAAUAAUCUUCCUAUAAGGUAAAGACUAUUGAUUACUAAGAAUUAGUUUCAUUGCGACUUAUAAAUAUAAAGACUAAUUUUAGUAAAGUAAGUUAAAGUAACAUUUCUAUUCUGCCGGAGGCCCAAGUGCUGCUUAUUCGACUUCGGCAGCCGAAGCACUCCUGCGGAAGGAGCUCUUAGUAAAAGCCUUAGUUUAAGCUAAGAGAAGGGAUAUUGCUUUAAAAAUAAAAUUUGUACAAAAAUAAUAAGUGAAGGAUAGCUACUCCUUAUCCUUGUGUACUUUCUAAUGAUAGUAAUAGCUUAUAACAGCAUCCUAGAUUAUACUAGGCUCUGUUAAGUUAGCACUACAGCAGGUUUAAUUAAACCUAAUCAAAAAUUUUAUUUAUAAUUUAGUGUAGAUCUGAUAUAAAAUGUAGCUCUAUUUUUGAUUAAAAUUUACUAAAAAAAAAAUAACUAAAUCAUUAAAAAUUGAUAUUAAUUAGUAAUAUUUAGUAAAAAUUUAAAAAUAGAAUUUUAGGAUGCUCCUUUAUUUCAUUAAUAUUUAUAGUUUAUUACUAUAAAAAAGAAAUAGACCUUUGAUAUGAGACUCUCGUAUAGUAUAAAAUAAAUAAAUAAAUAAUGCCUCAAUUAAUACCAUUUUCUUUUUUAAAUCAAAUAAUAUUUUCUUUUACAGUAUUAUUAGUUUUAGUUUAUAUAUUAUCUAAAUAUAUAUUACCUUUAUUUACAUUUUUACAAGUAAUAAGAAUCUAUAUUACUAAAUUAAGUAAUAAGAACUAAACUGUAUAAUAAUUUUACCCCUCGCUGCAGGUCCGUGCAUUCCUAGCGCUGCGCUAGCGAGCGAAGUAUAACUAUUUUUUAUCUUAAUCUAAUUAUUAAAUUAUAGUUUACUUAUUCUAAUAAAAUUUAGCUACUUUUCUUAUUCUUAUUCUGCCGGAGGGCAGCAGCAGCCGGAGGCCCAAAUUUAUUUUAUUUAAAAGUUUUUAAACUUCUGCAGGUGCUUGCGCAGCAGCCGGAGCAUGAACAAAGAGAAUACUUUUUAGUAGCUAAAAUUUUUAUUUAACACAUUAUAAAAAAAAUUAAAUUAUAAAUUUUAUUUAGUAAGCCAAAUCCAGAAUAAAAAUGUAUAUAUACUAGAUAUAUAAGCAUACUUUUUUUUUUUUAAUUUUAGACAACCUUUAACAUCAAGUUUAUUUAUAAAUUAGUACUGCUAAACUUAAUACUUUACAGUAAGUUCAUUUGCAGCCUACCUAGAAAUGUUCUAUUUCUUAAUUAACGGUUUAACAUUUUUUUUUAUAAGAAAAGUUUCCCUCUCUUAAUAACUAUUACUUUUUAUUUGAUUCUUUAGUUAAUAAAAUUAAUAAUAAAAAAGUUAACAUCCGUUUUUUUAGUAUCUAGAGGUUAGAUUCUUGCUUGAUAUACAUUCAGCACUUAUCUAUUAUGUUUGUGGCUACCCAACUAUGCGUUCCUAAAUUAUUACCUUUAAACUAUUAAAAUUCUUUAACCUAAUUUCUUAGGCUCAAACAAAAACGAAUAAUAAAAAAAUAAAAAGGUUUUUCCUCAAAAAAAUUGAGUCCCUUAUAAUAAAGUAAAAACAAUUGGUACACUAGAGAAACACAGCCUAUUGAUCCUUUCGUACUAGAAGGUCUGCCCCUUUUUACUAAUUAUCUCUUCAGAAGAUAGGGACCAUACUGACUCACGUCGUAUUAAACCCAACUCGCGUACCCUUUUAAUCGGCGAACAGCCGAACCCUUCCAAGCUUCUUCCCCCGGAGGAUAGGAUGAGUCGACAUCGAGGUGCCAAACCACCGAGACAAUGUGUACUCUCGUCGGUGAUCAGCCUGUUAUCCCUAGCGUAACUUUUAUCUAUUGAUCCCCGUCUAUUCCAUACUAUAGCGAGGGGUCACUAUGCCCUACUUACGUAUCUGUGCGACUUAUAGGUCUUUCAGUUAAGCAUGCUUUCCGCCAUUGAACUCUGCGCAACCCUUCACUGGUUGAUUGUUCUCCAUACAAUUCCUAGCUAUACCUUUAAUACUUUUUGGAAAAAAUUAAAAAUUAAAUUUUCUUUUUUUUCAACUUAUUAAUUUUUGUGUAAUUUUUGUUUAUAAAUGUGUUAUAAAUUAUACUGCGAAGCUUCCGCAAGACAUUUCUUUACUGCGGAGCUGAAGUAUUUCUUACGAAAAAUUUUAAUUCUAGUUUUCCAUCCCCCCUAUUUUCUGCGCUGCUGCGUAAAAAAUAAUUAAACUUCUACAUUUAAUUAAAAAUAUCGAAGAAAUGGGAGAUAAAAUCAUAUGAUUUUCCUACUUACUUUAAAAAAAGGAGGCCAACUAGGUUUUUUAUUUUCUUAAUUAAAAAUUUUAAUUAAUUAUUUCUUUUCUUUGAUUAAAUUUAUUAAAUUUAAAAAAAGCGUGCUAUUAUAUAAUACUUAGUAUUUCUUACAAUAGCAAGAAAUUAUUUGUGAAAUUAAAACAUAUAAAAAUUUAAAAAAAAUAUUUUUAAGCCUAAUAAGGCUUUGAUUUGAUUAAUUAUUUUAUGGCUGAGCCAUUAUUGUGGAAAAAUUUGGAUGUACUUUGCUACUAUAUUAAAGACGACCGCCCCAGUCAAACUGCCAAUUAGUCAACUCUCCCUUUUUGUUCGUUAGAAUACAAAUAAGGUAAACAUAAACCCAGCCUUAACUAUAAGGUUUCCAAAAUUAGUCUAUCGACAUCCCUAUUUACUAUUGGAAAAGGCUGUUCUAGAUUUACAUGAUAACUAACUACAGUAGAAGCUGCAUAGGGUCUUCCCGUCCCUCUGAAGAUAACCCGCAUCUUCACGGGUAAUUCAAUUUCACUGAGCAAGUUGUAGAGACAGUGAGACCAUCGUUACACUAUUGAUACCGGACCACAUUUAAUGGCCAACUGAUUUUGCUACCUUAGGAUCCUCAUGGUUAAGACCGCUAUUAACCAGACUUUCAAUUAGUCACAUUUUACUAUGACCUCUCUUAUAUUAAUGGCAUCGGGCAAAUUUCAUCCAGUAUACUAUGAUAUUCAUCAUUGCACUGAAUUGUGUUUUUAGUAAACAGUCGGGGCCUCCGAUUCUGUGCCACCGCCCUAUAUAAUAAAUUAUAUAAGUGGUACCUCUUGUCGUCAAACUUAUGAGGUAAUCUUGCCGAGUUCCUUAACAACUUUUAGCUCUACGCCUUAGUAUUCUCUACCUACGAACCUGUGUCGGUUUAGGGUACGGUAGUAAAAUAAAAUUAUAUUAACAAUCAGACUAUAUCUAAAUUAUAUGAAAUAAUAUAAAUAUAUUCUUUGCUUUUUUAUUUAUUAAUAUAAUAAUAUUAUUAAUAUUAAUUUCCUGGUCCUUAAAAAAGGACUUUCUAUUAUUUACUCAUCAGCCAUAACUUUGGUUAGGGUCCUUAGAGGCCGCAUUCACACACAACGAUUUAAUCUAAUUAGUGCAACCCUUUCGUUUUCGGCGAGAAGUAUUAUUAACUUCUUUUACGUUACUCAUGUCAGCAUUCUCUCUUCAGUUGCCUAUAUAAAUAAUGAAACACUAUUUUUUCAAUAGAUUGACUGAAUGUUCUACUACCUAGAUAAAGAAUUAAAAUACUUAUUUUUAAUUCAAUACCAACACGAUAUCGGUUGAUUGUUUAAGACCCGUUAAAUUUUCGGCGCUACAAUCUAAACUGCUGAUGCGUUGUUACGUACGAUCAUUAUAAGUAGCGACUACCAGGCUCACUUCACAGCUGUAUACGAUUUUGCUACGUCCUUAAUUUCACUUAACAAUCAUUUGGGACCUUGAUCUGUGUUCUCGGCUGUUUCCGUCUUGACUAUUCAACUUAGCAUGAAUAGUCUGAAUAUCUACUAUCAAUUUAUGUAAUUCCGAGAUUCGCCUCCAAAGGUAAGAUUUCUACGUCCCCGCAACCUAAACGCCAAAAAGGUAAUUGUAAAAUUGGUAUUCCACAUUUACCUAAUUCUUGUUGGGAGCUGCCUUUCUGUACCUCCAUAAAUCUUUUAUUGUAGAUGUCAUACUUAAAUAUGUUUCGGUAGAAAACCAGAUAGCACCAGGUCAGAUUGGCAUUUCACCGCUUACCAAAACUCAUCGGAGAAUUAUGCAACAUUCACCCGUUCGAUCCAUUAUAAUCUGGUCUUGGUAAGAUCACCUGGCUUCGGGUCUAAUAAAAGUAACUUAUCCAUCACUAUAUUAAUAUAUAGUCCAGUCGCUUUCGCUAGGGCUUUUAACCUUGCUACUCUUAUUAACUUGCUGACCCAUUAUGCAAAAGGUACGCCGUCAUUCAUUAAUCUUUUUAAAGUAGAAUUUCGACUGCUUAUAGAGUUACUAAUUCAAAUUAUUUCAUAUUAAAAUUUAAUUAAAAAUUUUAAAUUUUCUUGUUUACAACAUUUUUUUUCAAUUACUUUCCUUCACAGUACUUGUUCACUAUCACUAAAUUUAUAAUACUUAGCCUUAGAGGAUGGUUCCCCUAUAUUCCAACAAGUUAUCUCUCGUCGUACUUUUAUGUUUAUAUUUAUUUUUAUAAAUUUACAGGACUUAGAUUUUCACCUAUUUUAGAAGCAAUAUUAAUAUUAAUAAAAAUACUAAUAUGCUAAUAAAAAUAUAAAUUUUAAUAAAGUAGGAAUCAUUCUACUCUAAUAAAAUAAAGAUUUUUAUUAAUUCAAUUUAUAAAAUAAAUUAGGCUAAUCCGAUUUCACUCACCAUUACUUUCGGAGUCUCGGUUGAUUUCCUUUCCUUUCCUUAAUAAAAUGUUUUACUUCAGGAAGUAUUUAAUAAUUAAGGUUUACCUUAGGAUCGCUUUCCCAUUUUUAAAAUAAUUAAUAUUUUAGAAAGCUUUUGGUUUUUUACCCUCCUUUUAUAUAAAUUUGAUAGUUAUCCUUAAUAACCCCUUUAAAAUACUUUGAUGUUAAUACAAUAUUGUCAUCGAUUCUUUUAAUUAUUUAUAUUUUUUUUAUGUUAUCUUUUUAUUUUAAAUUUUUAAUGGAGAUGUAAUUGAAAAAGAAAGCCCACUAAGAUUUUAUAAGUCAAUGAUAAAUCUAAGUAUCACUACUAAAACCUUUAAAAUUAGUAUCAAGCGUACUGAUAAUAAGAAAAUGGUAAACAAUUCUUACAUUCCAUUGCACAUCACAAAGUUGGAUCAUAGUUUAGAUAAUAAGAAUUUCUUUAUAAAAUUAAAAAACCUUAUUAUUAAAUCUACAUCACCGCCACUCCAAGUGCUCGACUAAUCUAUAUAUAUCCUCAAUUUAGGGGGUUAAGGAUAUGGGUUUAAUUUAUUUUUUAGAGUCAAAAGGGUUUUUUUCCAUUAAAUUCGAUAUUUCUUUAUUCAAUUCAGAUUUAUUAGAAUUUAAUUUAUCUUCUAAAUAUUUAUGUGCCUCUUUAAAUUGAUCAACCGUUAAUCCUUUAUUGGCUUUUUCAAAUUCUUGACGUUCUAAAUCGGUCAAGUUUUCAAGUACUGCCGGUACUGUUACAGGUUUUUUUUAAAGCUUGUAAGCCCUCAACUCCUACUUUCUUAAGAAUAUUGGUUACAUAGGAAUCCAUACCUAUUGCUGCAAUUCCUAACUUCAAUUUAGGAACAAAGAAAGGUUGUUUACCCUCUUUCUCAAGGAUAUCAUCUAAUUCAUGACACAAAGCAUAAGUUAGACCUGUACCUACACUGAGAUUGACAACAUUCUUAAUAGUAUAACCACCAGCCUUUCCUAUAGUAUUUAAAAAAUCUAAAGGUGAAUUUCUAACCAAUAAGUUACCAUUUAGAACAUUAUAAAACCAAUGUUUAAUUUGUCUAUAAAUAUAAUACAAUUUAUAUAAAAUAUAACUUAUAGAUAUAAAAGUUAUAAUAUAAAAAUAUAUUUUAUUUAACUUAAAACCUAUACCACUUAUUAUGAUAGUCAUACACAUAGGUCCAAUUAAUUUAAAUAUUCUCACAUAUAUAUUACUAUCAAAUUUAGACAAACCUUCAGGAACAACAGGCAUACUAAUUCCAGCUUUAAAAGCUGAUCAUAAUUUAUUUAUAAUUUUCAUUUAAAAAAUGUACCAUUAUGGUGAAUAAAAAUAUUAAUUUCUAGUUUAAUUAUUUUUUUUUUAAUAUAUUAAAUCUAGCCCUUUACUGAAGUUAAUUUAUAAAUUAACUUAAUAAGAGAAAGAUUUAAUAAGAUUUAAUUAAACCUAAGUACAUAAAUAUGUACUAAUUAACUGCUUAAAAAAGAAUUUAUCUUUUGAACAGAUUUCCACUGUUAAUUUCUACUAAUAAGAAGUAGAUGUUAUACUUUAACUACAAUAUUUUUAGGGGGUAAACUUAUAUUUAAAAAAAUAUAAAUUACCUAAUGGAGAAAACAUUCAUAAUAACCUCCAUUAGAAAAGGGUGUGAGGAGCUAGGAUUCGAGGAAAAUUUUUUAUUUUAUUAAUAAUUCUUCUUUUAAGGUUUUUAUAAAAGAUUAUUUAUUAAUUUAUUCUUACUUACUGUAAUUUAAAAUUUUUUAAAUCUUAAUAAAGUUAAUUAAAUAAUGCAGAGGGUAAAAUCGGAGACUUGAACUCUGAACAUCGUCGCCACAAGACGUUAUUUUACCAUUAAACUAAUUCUACCUCUUAAAUUAAAAAAUUUUUUAUAUGAAAUUAAUACUGCAUCCUUCCUAGCUCCGCAGGAGGAAGCAGCUUCAAAUAAGGUGCUAAUGCUACGCUGCACUAGUGCCUAGUCUAGGCAAGUACUAGCGAAGCAAAUGAUACCAAGAAAGCACUUCUUUUAAAUAAAAUUUAAAUAGAUUAUAAUUUGUAUUUAUAGCUUCGGGCACUGUCGGAUUUGAACCGACGACUUUUUUUAGAAGUACUCGUUUUCAAGACGAGCGCCAUAAACCAGACUCGACCAAAUGCCCUUAAUUUUAUUUUAAUACUUAUUAUUUACCAUCCUAGCAGCACUAGUUAAUAGUUUUUACUAUAUGCUGCAGUAAAAAUAUUUUCUAAUAAAUUAUUAUACUAUUUUAAUUAAAUAUAAAAUAUAUAAUUUUUUUGCUAAUUAUAAAUUAAGACCUAAGGGAAUUGAACCCAUAUAAUAUCCAUUAUGAGCGAACUGCAUUAACCGUUAUGCUAAAGUCUUUUUAUUUUAAAAAUUAUAUUCUUUUAAUGAUAUAUAUGUUAUUAGAAUAAUAAAUAAAAAUUUGUUUGCUUUUCUAUGCUAUACUUUAUUCCUGUUAUAAAAAGUAUCACAUGUGUAAAUAUUAAUUUCCUCUUUUUUAAUUAUAUAAAAAGGCUAACAUGAAAGAUGCUAGCUAUAAUGAGUAUUUAUAAGACAUCAAAUAAUAAAUUUAAAUAAAAAUAAUUUUAUUUCCUACUUGCUGCUUCCUCCUGCGGAGCUAGGAAAGAUGCUGAGCAGGGAAGCACUAACCUUUAUAUUUUUGUUCGUUUAUAUUAAUUACUAAAGAGAGCGAAUGUAUAAUUUCAGGAACUAACUUCACUUUUUAGAAAAUAAAUUAUUUUUUGUUAUUACAAUUAGGGGGUAAAAUUAAUUUUUUAUUGCUUAUUUUCUUUAAAUUAGUGUAAAUCUAUAGCGUCUUUUAAGUAUGAACAUACUAAUAAUGUAAGUACAAAACUUUGGAUGAAAGAAACUGCUAUUUCUAAUCCUAUUAAUCCUAAGAAUAUAGUAAAUGGUAUAAUAGUUAAGAUAGCAAUUAUUAUACUACUUGAAAAUAAUUUAUAUAAAAAUGUUGAUAAUAUUUUUAAUAAAGUGUGUCCGGCUGUAAGAUUAGCGAAUAAUCGAACUCCUAAAGACACUGCUCUAGCAAAAUAACUUACUAGUUCAAUUAAAACUAUUAAAGGUACUAAAGCUAAAGGUGUACCUGAAGGUAUGAAAUAAGAGAAAAAUUUUAGUUUAUGUAUGUAUAAAGAUAAUAUAGUUACUCCCAUAAAUAUAGUAACAGAAAAUCCUAAAGUUACUAUAGCACUAGCAUUAAUAGCAAAUGAAUAUGGAACAUUAGAAAUAAGAUUUCCUAUUAAAACAUAAAAAAAUAUACUAUAAACAAAAGGUAAAUAUACUUCAUUUAAUGAUCCUAUUUGAUCUCUUACCAUAGUACCUAAACUUUGGAAAGAAGAUUCAAAUGCAAUAGAUCAUUUAGAAGGUAUUAACUUAGAAUCGUUAUUACCGUAUAUAUGUAAUCCUAAAAUAAUAAUUAAUGCAAAUAUAGCAUAUAAACCUAAAUUACUUAAACUUAAGUUUAAAUAACCUAAAAUGGGAGCGUUAAAACCUAUUAAACUAUUAACCUCAAAUUGACUUAAGGGAGAUAAAAUAAAUAAUGAAGACACUAUUGAGAUUAAUCAAUAUAUUCACCUUCUAAAGAGUAAUUUUUAAUUUAACUUACUUCCUGUUCAAUUAUGCAGGAGUAAGAAAUGCAAUUUAAGUAAGCUAGCCUUUCCUUUAUAAAACGUUGGUUCAAGAAUACUACUCCUUACUUAUGCAAGGUUUUACUUUUGAGAUAGUAGUACUAUGCUUAUAAUUAAUUAUAAGUCCUUAUUAGACUUAGAAAUUAUAAUAGCAGCAAACAUUGCUAAUAAUAAAAUAAUACUUAAAGUAAUUAAUAAUAUAGCUCCAUAAGUAUAUAAAUUAUGACCUAAAACUUCUAUUUGUUGAAAUAUUGUAAGUAAUAAAUCUGAAGAUGAAGGAUAAUAAACAUUAUCAACUAUAGAAUUAAUUAAAUUAAUUUUAAUUAUAUAAUAAUUUGAGAACAAUCCAUUUAAAUAAGUUAUUUUAUCUAAAAAAAUAGAUAAAACAGGUACAUUAUUAUAAUUAAAUUUGAUUAUUGAAAAAAUUAUAAAUAUAAAUAAAAAUCCUACAGCUAAAGCUAAAGGUAAAGUUUUAGUAUAUUGGCUACCUGUUUCUAAAAUAUCAGUUAGUUUUAUAUUUAUCAUCAUAAUUACAAAUAAAAAUAAAACAGCAAUAGCACCUACAUAAACAAUUAUAUAUGAAAUACCUAUAAAAUUUAUUCCUAUUAAAAUUAGAUAACCUGCAGAUAAUACAAAAGUACCAAUUAAAAAAAGUACUGAGAUAACUGGAUUUUUUGAAGUGAUUGAAAAAAUACUUGAUAGUAAUGUAGCAAAAGCUAAUAUAUUUAUUAAUAAAGUUGUCAUUGUAUAUAAUGAAAUGAAUUUUUUUAGCUUACUUAUUCUGCGUAGCGCGGAGCCUUCUACCUUUUAAAAAAAAUAUGAAAAAAAGUUAAAAGCAAUAGAAAGAAAGCACUCGCUCUUAGUAAAACAAUGUAUCUGAUGCUCGGCUCCGCAGCGGCGGAAGUAGAUAGCUAGCCUGUGUAUCUAGAUGAAUAUUUCAAAGAGUUGCUAACAUUACAUACAGAAACAAUAGUUUUAAAAAAUACUAAUUUUUAAUAGUAAUACUAGCACAUAAAAAGUAUGGAUGUUUGGCCUGCUCUGCUGCUUCCGCAGGAGGCGCUAGCGCUAGCGCAGUGCUGUUUAUAAUCUAGCAAAAAUGAUAGAAAUUAGUAUUUUUUUAUUUUUUAUUUUUAAAUUUUUAAAUUUUUUAUAAACUUGGUCACUUAUUGCUCUUAAAAAAUAGCAACUUUUUAAUCUGAAAGCUUGCUUUGCUUAGGAACUGUUAUCCAACAGAAAGUUAUUGCUAAUUAUUUAAAUACAGGAACUCAAAAACAUAAUAUUAAAUUUAAAGAUUAAAAGUUAAAAAAUAACAAUUUAAGCUAAUAGACUACUUUAAAUAUUUUAUUUAUAUAAACAUAAAAUGUAAAUAGUUUUACAUAAAUAAAAUAAAAAAUAGCAGGUUUAACCAAAAAAAAAUACCUUUAAAAAAAAAUUUAUUUUAAUUAUUUAUAAAGGCACAAUUAUUAAGCAUUAUAUUUUACAAAAAGAAUGCUAAAAAUAAAACGCUACUUAAAAAUAUAAGUAAACUGCUUUGAAUAGGAAAAGUGUUAACACUCCUCAGCUCCGCAGCUCCGCUGCUCCACAGUAGCUAAUAUUAGCUAACAAAAGUUUAGCCUCUUACUUUUAAGCCUGCUGCUGCGCAAGCACUUGUUAUUUUUGUAAAAUUUUAAAACCGCCAACUAAAUAUAUUUUAAAUUAUCAAUUUAACAUAAUUUAAACAUUUAUAAUAGUUAUAAGGUUCAUAAUAGUAAGUGUUUGAUUAAUUUUUUAAAUUUGUAUUAUAAAAAGUAAUGUAAUUAAUACUAUAUUAUAAUAAUUUGAGUAGUCUAGGAAUCGAACCUAGUACGGUUAUAAACCAAUUCUUUUACAGAGAACCACCAUUACCAAUCGGAUCACCUACCCCUAAAUUAAUAAAUAAAAAUAUAGCAAAACUUAAGCUCCAUACUAGCCUCGCUUAUAAAAUUUAAUAAAAAAUAUAAAAAAGAAUAGCUAUAAUAUUCUAGCAAGAAAGAAUAAAAAGUGUUAUAUUAUAUAAUGUAAUAAAUUAACUUGUAUCGUGGUAGGCGCGACUCGAACACGCUAACUCUCCCACCCAAAAGGAGUAACCAUCCAGUUGGUAUUCUACCACUAAUAAUUAAAGGAUAAUUAUUAUAUUAAAAAAUUGAUUUUAUUAAUCUUUUUUUUUUUUUCUUAUUUUUACUGUUUACAUAGCUAUCAAUAAGACAGCUUUUAAUAAAGAAGAAUGAGUUAUAUAAUACCCUCGCUGCAUAGCACAACCAAUGUAGAAGAGUUACUAGCCCUGCUGCGGAGCCGAGCACGGAGCCUACUUUAUUUAGAUUGCAUGAUACAAUUUCUAGCAUUAAAAACUUGCUAAUCAAAAACAGCCUAAAUUUUAAUUUAGUUUAAUAUUCUUUUAAUUAUUUUAUAGUUUAAAAAAUAAAAGUAUUUAAUCUUUGCUUAGCAAUUGAAACUUGGAACUUUUUUAAUUUAAUUAACAAAUUCAGAUGCUUUUUAAAUUUUUAAUUUGAUAAAGUGGGUAAAACUACAAUUUUAAUUGUUUAUAUUAUCAGUAUUAGAUAAUGAGAUAGCCCCUGAUCCUAUUUCUAAAACAAAUCCUAUUGUUAAAACAAUAAAAAAAAUAAUAGCUACAGAGAAACCAAAAGUACUUACUUGGUAUAAAGUAACACCUAUAGGCAUUAAUAAUAAUAUUUCAAGAUCAAAUACUAGGAAUAAUAAACCUACUAUGUAAAAAUGAAUUUGAAAUGUAGAUCUAGUUUGUCCUUCUAUUGCAUUAAAACCACACUCAUAUUGAGAAACUUUAGCUUCAUCAGGUUUAUGUGAUGCUAAAAAAAAGUUUAAAGCUAAUAAAACAAUAGCUAAUAUAGGAACAAAAAUAAAUAAGAAAAGUAAAUUAUUCAUUAAUGAUUAAAUAAAGAUAUAGAUAGUAAUUGUGUUGUAUUUAAAAUUAAAGUAGGUUUAAAAAUAAAAAAUAAUAUUGAUAAUGUUAAAGUAGAAAUUAAAAAACUAUGGAAAUUACUUAAUAUUUCAUCAUUACUAUUACUUCCAGUAUUAAUUACUUCUUUAUUAGUAUUAGAUGAAACAUCUAUAAAAAAUGUUUUUAUUAUUUUUAAAUAAUAUGAAGCACUUAUAACACUGACAAAUAUAGCUAUGAAUGCUAUAAAAUAAUAUCCACCUUUUAUUGCUGAAUAUAAUACAUAUUGUUUUGAAAAAAAUCCUAUUAAUGGUGGUAUACCAGCCAUAGAAAAUAAACAAAUACUGAAACUUAAACUAAUUAAAGGAUUUGAGUAAAAUUGACCUUUAAAUUCAGAAAUAUAUCUUAUAUCUUUAAUAUUAUUUAAUUGAUUAUUAUUAAUAGAUCUAUUAAUUAGAUAACUAAAUGCAAUGAUAAUUAAAAAAAUAUUUAAAUUAGUAAUUAUGUAUUGUAUAAUAUAAAAUAUAAAUGAAUCUAUAGAUUGUUUUGUAUGAAUUGCUAACGCUAAUAAAAUAAAUCCAAUAUGACUUAUAGUACUAUAAGCUAAUAGUCUUUUUAUUCUAUUUUGUGCUAAACCUACAACACUACCAAUAAUUAAUGAAAAUAAUGAAGUAAUAAGCAAUAAAUAUUUAAUUACUUCAUCAAUAUUUAACUUGAAUGUAUUUAAUUUAGAAAAUAAAGCUAAUUGAUCUAUUAUAUCAAUAUGUAGAUAUAAAUCUAAUAAUAAUAUUAAAAUAGAGAUUUUUGGUAUUAUAGUUAAUCAAAUAGUUACUAUUGUUGGUGUUUCAUCAUAAACAUCAGGAGAUCAAUUAUGAAAUGGAGCGGCAGAUAUUUUUAUUAAAAAUCCAAUAAAAAUAAAGAUUAAACCUAAAAAUAUAGACACGCUUAAUUCGUUAGAAAAGAAUGGAUAAAUCAUAUCUAUUAAAUUAUUAUUAACUUCUAUAUAAUAUAUAGAAAUUAAGCUAUAAAUUGAUUCAAAAUUUGUUAAUCCAGUAUAAGCAUAAAGUAAACCUGAACCAAAUAAAAUUAAACAAGAGGCUAAACCACCUAUUAAAAAAUAUUUUAAUCCUGCAGAUGUAGAUGAUUCUGAAUCUCUAUAUAAAGUUGAUAAAACAUAUAAAGAAAAAGAUUGUAACUCAAUACUUAAAUACAUUGAUAUUAAAUCUGAACAAGAAAUUAAUAAGGACGCACCUAAUGAACUAAAUAAAACUAUUAUUGAAUAAUUUAUAGAAUAGCUUAAAAAUUUAUUAUUAUUAAGAAUAGAAUAACAAUUAUUAUUCUUAAUAUUAGAACUAAGUAAGCUUUCUGAAGAAAUUUUAUUAUAAUUAUCUAAUAAAAUACUAUUUACUAAAGAAUAUAAAUAAGAUUUAUCUUUCUCUUUUGAAGCAUAGCUUUGAUUACUUAAAGUUAUAGGUUUAACUAUUUCUUUAAUUAACUCUUCUUGUUUAGGUCAAGAAAUUAAUAUUAUUGAACCUAUUAUUAAUAAAAAACUUUCUAGAAUUUGAGAAAUUGUUGUUAUAUUGAACAAUCCUCCAUAAAUACCUAUACCGGAUAAAGAUCCUAAAUUAAAUAUAGUAUUAUAAGUCAAUAUUCCAGAAAAUAGUAAAAUUAUAGCUGAUAUUCUAUGAUAAAAAUCUUCUGAUAAUUUAUCAUUGAUUAAAGCUUUACACAUUAUUAAACUGACUAAGGAAAAAAAAAGCAUUAAAGAGAAUCAUUAUAGUUUAUACUUUUACUGCAGCUGUGCGUAGUGCUAGCGCAGCAGAAGUUUUUAAUUUGUCUAUAGAUAAUAGCUAAAAUUUAUUAUUAGUACAAGAGACUACGCAACAGUGCAGAAUAAGAUCUUUAAAACUACUGCGCAGCACCAACAAUGCUUGCUAAACAGCACAAAUAUAAAUUGGGAUAGCUGAAAGAGAAAAGUUUGGGUAAAAAGAUUUAUUCUAAUAACUACCUAGUAAUAGAUACGAGGGUAAUAAUUAGUAAAUAGCUUUUUACUGUUUUAUUAUUAUUAUAAUAUAAUUAUGAGUAUAAUAAUAAGAAAGCUACCAUUAAGGCGAAUAAACCUGUAGCUUCUGCUAAAGCAAAUCCUAAGAUAGCAUAAGUGAAUAAUUGUCCUCUAAUUUGAGGAUUUCUUGCUGUAGAAGAGAUUAAAGAAGAAAAGAUUACUCCAAUUCCUACUCCAGCUCCAAUUAAACCUGAACAUGCUAGACCUGCUCCUAUGUAUUUUGCAGCUGUUAACAUUAUAAAAAAAUUUAUAUGGGCAAUAUUAAUUCAGUCAGUGUCUAUGAUAAACAAGCAUUGUAUUCAUUUUUAAUUUUUGUUAACUUUAUAAUUUUUUAAUGAAUAAGACCAUUAAAAUUAAUUAUAGAAUUACACUAUAUUUGGAACAAUUUUUAAGAAGGAGAGAAAAAAAAAAUUUUUUUCAGUUUAAGUUACAUCACUUGAAAGUUUAUUAAAAAAGCAAAGUGAUGGAGCAUUUUAAGGAGCUCACUUCAUAUAGCCGAAAAAAGGAAUUGAACCUUCUUUUUACCGUCAUGAAUGGUAUGUUUUAACCGUUUAAACUAUUUCAGCAAAAAAAUUUUUUUAAUAAUCACUUGCUGCUGCUGCUGCGCUAGCGCUGCGCUAGCCUAGCGCUAAGCCUGCGCUUUUUUAGAGCAAGCGUAGCUAACAUCCGCAACAAUUAAGCGGAGAAAGCAAACGCUACAGCCUUACCUUUAUUUUUAGAAAGGGUAAAGAUUUUUUAAGAGUUAGACUUUUAUUUAUCUAUAGGACGAGUUCUGUAAAAAUAUUUAAGACAACUAUUAAUAAUAUAAUUAUAUUAUUAUGGCCGCUUAUUAACUGAAUUUUCUAAAUUAUUCAUAAGUUAGGAUAUAGGAUUCUUAUUUUAAUAACUUUUUAUAUUUUAAAACAAACUAAAGUGUUAGAUACAUAACUUCUACUUGCGAAGCAGGAAACGCUUUUGUAAGCGCUUCAAACAAAAAAAAUAGAAAAAAAAAGUUAAAAUUUUCUUAUUAAAAUUUCCAUAAAAUCAAUUUUAUUUAAAAAAUAUAUCCAAUAAUUAACCUUGAACCUUACCUUAAUUAAAAAAAUUAUUAUUAAAAAUAUAUUUGAUUAAUUUCAGUUUUAGAUAUCUUAACUCUAUUUUUAAACUAACUAUAAUAACUUUAAAUUACUUAAAAAAUUAUAACUAAGUAUAAAUAGCUGAAAGCAAUAUUUUACAGUUAUUUUUAAAUUAUACGAAUAAAGAGACUUGAACCCUUACAAUCUUUGUAAUUAUGAGUUCCUAAAACUCACCCGUCUACCAAUUUCGGCAUAUUCGUCAAAAAAAUUAAUAUUGCUGCUGCGCUAGCGCUGCGCUAGCCUAGCUAGCUAAAAAAAACCGCUUACGCUUCAUACUAGUAAAGUUCAUGCUUGCAGUAAAGAAGGACUAAAUUAAUAAGAGUUUAUUAACUAUAAUUAAACUAACUAUAAUUAAACUUUUCUAAAAGCUGCAAUUACUUAUAUAUAGAAGGUAGAGUAAUCGAAACUCUGUCUUUAAAGUGUAAAUUUAACGCUAAAACCACUCAGCUAACCCUCUCAUUUUUAUAUAUUUAGCGCACUUAGCUUAUUUCCAAAGGAAAAGAGUGCUUAUGCUACUUCCUCCUGCGGAGCUAGGAAGGAGGCGGAGCUAGGAUGCUAGGAAAGGGGGUUUAAAUA
rnacentral:rRNA from 1 species